rnacentral:rRNA from 1 species
UGGGGAAUUUUGGACAAUGGGCGAAAGCCUGAUCCAGCAAUGCCGCGUGUGUGAAGAAGGCCUUCGGGUUGUAAAGCACUUUUGUCCGGAAAGAAAUGGCUCUGGUUAAUACCUGGGGUCGAUGACGGUACCGGAAGAAUAAGGACCGGCUAACUACGUGCCAGCAGCCGCGGUAAUACGUAGGGUCCAAGCGUUAAUCGGAAUUACUGGGCGUAAAGCGUGCGCAGGCGGUUGUGUAAGACCGAUGUGAAAUCCCCGAGCUUAACUUGGGAAUUGCAUUGGUGACUGCACGGCUAGAGUGUGUCAGAGGGGGGUAGAAUUCCACGUGUAGCAGUGAAAUGCGUAGAGAUGUGGAGGAAUACCGAUGGCGAAGGCAGCCCCCUGGGAUAACACUGACGCUCAUGCACGAAAGCGUGGGGAGCAAACAGG